CAUCUCCUUCGUACUACCGCGAUACACUCUAUAUCACCUCCCCGCACCCUCCUUUAGCAUUUUGGAUUCGGCGGAAAUCCAAGCCCUAAAUCUGCAGGGAGAAAAAAUAUCUGCUAAACAUUUCCGUAAAGUCUGUCCUCCGACCAACUUUCUAUCAUAUGAGUCUUGCAAAAUUCGCCUCGGACCUGAAGUCCAUCCCAAGUGGAUGUCCUAUUGGUCUCAAGACGAGGGUGGUCGCGAACCUGCUACGCGAAAGAGGGCAUCUAACUCGCCCUGAACUAUACGAACUCAUACCUAGAGAGAUCAUACCAAGCAAGUCUAAACUAACGACCAUCCUGAAUAUCAUGGCAAAAAAAAAAAGAAUCAAGGCCUUCUUAUCUAGUGGCUCGCAACUGGGAAAAGAUCACUUCGUUUAUAAACUUAAUCCCACUCAUCGAGAUAUCAACUUCCCAGACCUAUACGGUUCUACUCGUCAAAAGGCUCAUCUUAAUUGGAUGCUGUCAAAAGAUAAAACAGGUGCUCUGAAAUAUGUUGUCGAAAAAACUCCAGAACCAGCCAAUGCAGACCUCAAGCUCAUUCGUAAAAAACUCGCACAACUGAAAAAUACAAUCUAGUUUGUAUAAACUGUAAAAUGAGAUAUUCCUUAGCACUUCGCUCGAAGAGUCUAUGCUCUUCAAUUUACGUGUGUACUAUCCCAAUAUUACUAUUCAAUAGAUCGCUCUUUUUACUUCAAAUAUCAACAGAAAAAAAUAAAAAUGCGAUGC